CAGUACGACCAAAGCUGUGGAGUGGGACGCUGAGUGGUCGAAGAAUUUAGAUCCUUCAGGAAGAACUGCCCUCGGAGUUCAUACAUCUGCAUAUGAACCUAAAUUGAUCGCAGAUGAUGCUACUGUAAAUAGAAAACCAUCACAGGCAAAAAUCAAGAAGCCGAGAAUCGACAAUGCUAUACAUUCAACAACGGUCAUUGUUGGUACCUGAAUAACCUGAUCGGAUCGACCAGUUUAUUAACAGAUUUACUCAUACGACCAUACCAUCAUCUGUCGUCAAUUUGCUUGUCUCCAUCACGUUUUCCUUUCAUCCCAUAUUUGUACCUCUACUUCAAUCUCAGUCAUAUCUAAUAUCGUUAUUCGUAUACUCGUCCCAUCCCAAUAACACCCAUUACUUAUGAAGUCAUUGUUUCAUACCUAAACAAAUCAUUAUAGCAAAAUAUUACAUGUUAAAUUACCAUUACUUUUUCAAAAGCAGUGAUUUCUAAAUAUUGUUGUUUCAUAACUCAACAAACCAUCGUACCAAAACUUUACAUGUUGAAUUAUCAUUAAUUUUUCAUAAACAU
rnacentral:lncRNA from 1 species